rnacentral:rRNA from 1 species
AGCGAACGCUGGCGGCAGGCCUAACACAUGCAAGUCGAACGAACCUUUCGGGGUUAGUGGCGGACGGGUGAGUAACACGUGGGAACGUGCCUUUAGGUUCGGAAUAACUCAGGGAAACUUGUGCUAAUACCGAAUGUGCCCUUCGGGGGAAAGAUUUAUCGCCUUUAGAGCGGCCCGCGUCUGAUUAGCUAGUUGGUUGAGGUAAUGGCUCACCAAGGCGACGAUCAGUAGCUGGUCUGAGAGGAUGAUCAGCCACAUUGGGACUGAGACACGGCCCAAACUCCUACGGGAGGCAGCAGUGGGGAAUCUUGCGCAAUGGGCGAAAGCCUGACGCAGCCAUGCCGCGUGAAUGAUGAAGGUCUUAGGAUUGUAAAAUUCUUUCACCGGGGACGAUAAUGACGGUACCCGGAGAAGAAGCCCCGGCUAACUUCGUGCCAGCCGCCGCAGUAA